rnacentral:pre_miRNA from 1 species
GCCCGAGCCUGGGUCUUUGCGGGCAAGCUGAGUCGUGUAUCCCGUCAACUGGCCUACAAAGUCCCAGUUUUGGGC